GGAGCCGGGAAGUGGGAGAGCGAGCACCACCGUUUCCCCGGAGGUUGGUCCAGGGACAACGCGCGCCAGAGGGCAUCCUGCAACCCAUAGGCAGGCCGACGGGCCCUGGUCCCCGGGAUGAACCGAUGCCCACGGAACACACUUCCAAUCCCGCGCGGACGUGGCUGGCAGGUUGUAUUCUGCACCAAAACCUACCGGUCGGAGCCCCAGAGGCCAUGGUGAAAGUCAACGGCCGUCCCUUCAAGGCCCUGUUAGACUCUGGUAGUGCCGUGAGCCUGGUCCAAACCCACGUGCUUCCUCCACGGAGUGACAGUAAAGCCCAGUUCCCAAUAACGUGCGUACACGGGGACACUCGGCAGGUCCCUGCCCGCCGUGUCACUAUCUCCGCCGCCCCUGGAUCCUGGCCCGUAGAAGUCGGAAUAAUGAGGGACCUGCCAGUGCCCGUGCUGCUCAGAAGAGAUUGGGUGGGCUUUGAGGCCCUGUUGGCCGCCGCUACCCAGCCUGCCAGCCCUGGAGGGGCCCGCCAAGGCCGACGCACCCAACACCGGACAUGCUGCAACCCCGUUCUCCUGGCUUCGGACAGUGGGAGAGAUGGUGAGUCCCCCUCCCAAACUAAUAAUCUGUUUUAUGAUGUCUACCAACAGGUCACGGGAGGGGGCUCGCUUGGCCAGGCGCAGCGGGAAGAUGAUAGACUGAAACCCUGCUGGGCAAAAGUGUGCACACUGGAAGGCAAGGAUGUCCGGCCAAAACCCCAGCCUCUCCCACACUUCAUUGUGGAGAACGGCCUGCUCUUUUGGGUUGCCCAGCGGCGUGGGGAGGAAAAACGGUUACUGGUGGUACCCCGGUCAAAAACGGAGGUGGUUCUGCAGUUGGCACAUACACAUCCCCUGGCUGGACACCUGGGGGCAGCAAAUACCGCACAGCGCAUUCGUAACCGGUUUCUUUGGCCAGGGUUGGACGCCGAAGCGGUUUUGUCAAGCCUGUCCUGUUUGCCAGAGAACUUCACCCAAACCGCCUCCCCCCACACCGCUAAUUCCGCUGCCAAUUAUAGGGGUGCCCUUCGAGCGCAUCGGGAUGGAUCUGGUGGGGCCGUUGCCAAAGUCAGCCCGGGGGCACGAACACAUACUGGUGAUUGUCGACUACGCCACCAGGUACCCGGAAGCCGUGCCCCUACGGAAAGCCACCGCCAAGAACAUCGUGCAUGAGCUGUUCCUGUUCUUCAGCCGAGUCGGCAUCCCAGCAGAGAUACUGACCGAUCAGGGAACCCCGUUCAUGUCCCGGCUAAUGGCUGACCUCUGCCGCUUACUCCCGGUAAAACAACUCAGGACGUCAGUAUACCACCCACAGACUGAUGGGCUGACCGAGUGCUUCAAUAAAACCCUCAAACAAAUGCUGUGACGUGUAGCCACAGAGGAUAAACGGGACUGGGACGUGAUGCUGCCAUACGUUUUAUUCGGAGUCCGAAAGGUACCCCAAGCGUCCACUGGCUUCACCCCAUUUGAGCUUCUGUUCGGCCGACAGCCAAGGGGGCUACUGGAUGUCGCCAAAGAAGCUUGGGAACAACAGCAGCCUUCUCCCCAUCGUUCAGUCAUCGAACAUAUUACUGAAAUGCGGCAGAGGAUCGAACGCAU
ensembl:lncRNA